AAUUAAUUGGCAGAAAAAAUGCAUUAGAAUUAGAAUCUAAAUAAACUAUUAUUGCUAUUUUCUUUAUUAAUUU
rnacentral:tRNA from 1 species